rnacentral:rRNA from 1 species
GCCGCGUGAGGUGACGACGGCCUAUCGGGUUGUAAACCUCUUUUAGUAGGGAAGAAGCGAAAGUGACGGUACCUGCAGAAAAAGCACCGGCUAACUACGUGCCAGCAGCCGCGGUAAUACGUAGGGUGCAAGCGUUAUCCGGAAUUAUUGGGCGUAAAGAGCUCGUAGGCGGUUUGUCACGUCUGCUGUGAAAACUGGAGGCUCAACCUCCAGCCUGCAGUGGGUACGGGCAGACUAGAGUGCGGUAGGGGAGAUUGGAAUUCCUGGUGUAGCGGUGGAAUGCGCAGAUAUCAGGAGGAACACCGAUGGCGAAGGCAGAUCUCUGGGCCGUAACUGACGCUGAGGAGCGAAAGCAUGGGGAGCGAACAGGAUUAGAUACCCUGGUAGUCCAUGCCGUAAACGUUGGGAACUAGAUGUAGGGACCAUUCCACGGUUUCUGUGUCGCAGCUAACGCAUUAAGUUCCCCGCCUGGGGAGUACGGCCGCAAGGCUAAAACUCAAAGGAAUUGACGGGGGCCCGCACAAGCGGCGGAGCAUGCGGAUUAAUUCGAUGCAACGCGAAGAACCUUACCAAGGCUUGACAUAUACGAGAACGGGCCAGAAAUGGUCAACUCUUUG